rnacentral:rRNA from 1 species
UACAGAGGUCUCAAGCGUUGUUCGGAUUCAUUGGGCGUAAAGGGUGCGUAGGCGGCGCGGAAAGUUGGGUGUGAAAGCCCUCGGCUCAACCGAGGAAUGGCGCCCAAAACUACCGUGCUCGAGGAAGACAGAGGUGAGCGGAACUCAGGGUGGAGCGGUGAAAUGCGUUGAUAUCCUGAGGAACACCGGUGGCGAAAGCGGCUCACUGGGUCUUCUCUGACGCUGAGGCACGAAAGCUAGGGUAGCGAACGGG